UCUUUAGGCACUAAAAGAAGGCGCUGGAACUGCUGUCUCAUUUACUCGCCGAUUUAGUUUAAAAAGAGAAUCAUUCUGAGGCUCUAUCACAUGAUACUAGUAGUUCUUCUGCUAUGCUCAAUACUUCAGGUAUGGGUGAUGGGGACGAAGAGCAGCCAUUUUGUGCAUAGAUAUAGGAUCGGCUGUUGGGAAACAUACAUUAGUGUUAGUGUGGUAUGGUUGACCGAAGGAUGAUCAGUUACAGACAGAUUGUCAUGUGAUUUGUGCUGAAUUUCGAUUCAAUCCCAGUUGUGAGUCCUGUAAUCG
rnacentral:lncRNA from 1 species